rnacentral:rRNA from 1 species
AACGAACUAUUUAUAGUUAGUGGCAGACGGGUGAGGAACGCGUGGGAACGUACCCCAAAGUUCGGAAUAACUAUUGGAAACGAUAGCUAAUACCGGAUGUGACCGAGAGGUUAAAGGUUUACCGCUUUGGGAGCGGCCCGCGUUAGAUUAGCUAGUUGGUGGGGUAAAGGCCUACCAAGGCAAUGAUCUAUAGCUGGUCUGAGAGGAUGACCAGCCACACUGGGACUGAGACACGGCCCAGACUCCUACGGGAGGCAGCAGUGGGGAAUAUUGGACAAUGGGGGCAACCCUGAUCCAGCAAUGCCGCGUGAAUGAUGAAGGCCUUAGGGUUGUAAAGUUCUUUUAUUGAUGACGAUAAUGACGGUAAUCAAUGAAUAAGCACCGGCUAACUUCGUGCCAGCAGCCGCGGUAAUACGAAGGGUGCUAGCGUUGUUCGGAAUGACUGGGCGUAAAGGGUGCGUAGGCGGCCAGAAGCGUCUGAUGUGAAAUCCCUGGGCUUAACCUAGGAACUGCAUUGGAUACGGUCUGGCUAGAGUCCGCGAGAGGAAGAUGGAAUUGUGCGUGUAGAGGUGAAAUUCGUAGAUAUGCACAAGAACACCGGUGGCGAAGGCGAUCUUCUGGAGCGGUACUGACGCUAAGGCACGAAAGUGUGGGGAGCAAACAGGAUUAGAUACCCUGGUAGUCCACACUGUAAACGAUGAAUGUUAGAUGUCGGGGAGGUUACUCUUCGGUAUCGCAGCUAACGCAUU